UCUAGUUACUGUAAUGGGAUCGUUGCAAUGAGAUAACGAUAUUGCUGCUCGAAACUGCUGUAAAGGUGCCUACAAUCGAGCUAUAAUUUGUUUGGAUAGACCCAGAGCGAAUCAAAUUCUUCCUUUUCUGGUAUGUCUAUCCGACUAUAAGGAUCCUUUAUGAAAUCACCUUUUUUUGUUCGGAACCUCUUGAAUAUCGUAAAAGCUGAUGUAAACUACGCUCAGCGUCUACUUUAUGCCCGCUUCCGUUGUCGGUUCCUGUGGGUUGUCGCUUCGCCUCUACAUCUGAACACGGGUCCAACCUCCACCCACAGUGCCCGACACGUUGGUAAUUCUGGAGGCGGCUUAGCGGCCCAACGUACUUAUCGACGAACUGGAAUAUGCAAGUGGAAAGAAAGUACAUGCACUUCAAAACGGUCUGUCGAGAAACGCACGUAUCAAGAAGAAAACAACACAUUUAACGGUUGAAGACUCGUUUGAUCGCCGAUGCAGAAUGGCAACCAUAAAAGUGGCUAAAGCGCCAUCGCAGCUCGUUAGCUUACCCGACUAGCUUUUCCGGCUUCAUGAACUACUUCUCGGAACUGAUCACGUCGAGGGAUAUAGCACCAGACGCGGCGCCCUUUUUCGCUGCAGUGUGGGAAAAGGUGAUCUCAAUGCAAUGAAGUAUCCUUCAAGAAACUACAGUACGGGAACUAAUGCAAGGCCUUAGGAGCUUGCGCAGUAGGAAAGCUGCCGAUCCAGAUCUCAGCAUCUGAAAUGCGCAGUCGUUUUGGCCUCGUGCUGGAGGGCACUAUUUAGUAAUGUUUACAUACUGAUACACUCUUAGCCUAGUGAAGACUGCUUUCGUAUUUACUGAUCCCCGAAAGAAGGAGCGACCUUACCGCGCCGUCAUCAUAGCGGGAAAUAGCAAAAAAGAGUAUUUGUUAUAAGUUGCUCGCCGGUCUGCUGAGUAAGAAAUUCAACAGCUACUUGGAAAGCGUACAUGUCAUACCAACGGAGCAAGAUGUAUUCGUCGAUUUAAAGGCAGUCUUCGACUUUGAGCCAGGACAGGGAAGGUCUCUCCAUGAACGUGCUCAACCUUCUAGCUGCGAUUCUACAAGGGAACAGGCCAAUCAUCGAUGAUAACCAUCGAUGGGUGGCGAAACUUCCGUUUUUCAUACGUGUAAUUGGCCUCACUCAAGGAAAAACCUAAGCCUACUCUUAUUUUUCAUCUUGCUGAAGGGCCUUUCCAAUCGAAUGGGAAGCCAAGAAUAUCAGUCGCAGUCAUCUUGUACGCAGACGACUUAGGAGUCGAACAGGUUUCAAGUGCAGAAAGUUCUGCGCUGGUUCUUGCAGCAGUCGCAUAUUUGGGACUGACCGUAAACCUGACUAAAACGAAGGCGAUGGAACUUAUAUGAUGAUAGUGGCCACCGAAACCUUGUAUUUGACCAAAUCGUUUAUGUAAAUUAAUUUCUAUACCUAAGGUCGUUCGCGAACGGCAGAAGUUUUACUGCGUACAUAACCAAAAAAUAAAAGAAGUGUUAGCCGCAUGGGCGAUAAAAUCGUCUUAUCGCUUGUCCCUACCAACCGCUAUCAACUUGUUCGAUUUCGAAGUACCUCCGACCGCAACAUUUAAAUCGUGUCGAAGUCUGCUUCCUCAGAAAAGCAUUGACUACGCAUAGUGAUCCGGAAUCGCCACUGGUGUUUGAGGUCCCGCAUCGUCGCUUUGAGCUCCUAGAAAGUAAAAUCUUCAAGGCGGAUUUUAGCAACUUAGAGCGAAAAUUUGCAGAGAUCGACGGGGAUUUCUUUGCUUUGAACGCGAUGAGGAAUAACGAGUGGAAAGGGACAAACCUACAAAACAGGUCGUCACUCGUUUUGCCACACAUGGGUUUGACCAUAGACGUUGCGGGAAAUUAGGUUUCUACUACUUCUAUGUCUAUGCGAGAAGCGGAGAAAAUGACGUCAGAUGCUAUGCUACUCGAUGACCUCUGUACGAUUUCUAGGACAUCUGGCAAAUCUUUCAAACCAGUUUUAUUGUGUUGCUGACCUGUAUUCAUGAAAUUUUCCACGAAGCUUUUGGUUACUACCAGCAAAGUUUAAU
rnacentral:lncRNA from 1 species